GGGCCACCCGAACAGUCUCUCCUCCUCACAGAAGCCUGGAGCUGGGCAUCCAAGAAGAAGCAGCCUCAUUUGUUUUCUGGUGUCAUCGUAGGUGGCCACCUAUGGCUUUUGGGCUUCUCACCUGGGGCGGGUGGGUUCUGCACCACCCUCCCACCCUCCUUCCUCCGUGUGGACGAUAGAGCCACAUCCAGCACCACGGACAGCUCCCGGGCGCCUUCAUCUCCUCGUCCUCCAGGCAGCACAAGCCAUUGUGGAAUCUCCACCAGGUGUACAGAACGGUGCCUCUGCGUCCUGCCACUCAGGACCUCUCAAGUCCCCGAUGUGAUGGCUCCUCAGCAUGAUCAGGAACCAAAAAGAAGAAUGUACUUCAUCUGGUUGGGCUGGAUUCCCUCUGAUAAGCCUUCCCAGUUGACUGAAAGAUGAGGCUAGGCUCUAGCAAGUUGAAGUCAAACCAGCUCCUUCAAGAAGCUUUGAGCAGAAUGAAGUGGGGAGGACCCAGCUUCCAGCCCAGGAAGCCCACUGUACCUGGAGCCAUCUGGGAUAAGACUUUGACCCAUGACUCCCAUAUCCACAGCCUGUCCAUCCUAGCCCAUCCCAGUUUAUCCUGUAUCAUUUGAGCUGGGAUUCCCACAUCCUCUGAGUUGGAAGUCCCAUCUCAAGUCUUCAAUAAAGACUCUUGAAUAUUGAA
rnacentral:lncRNA from 1 species